UACGUAGGCAGCAAGCGUUGUUCGGAGUUACUGGGCGUAAAGGGUGCGUAGGCGGCUUUUUAAGUUUGGUGUGAAAUCUCCCGGCUCAACUGGGAGGGUGCGCCGAAUACUGAGAGGCUAGAGUGUGGGAGAGGAAAGUGGAAUUCCUGGUGUAGCGGUGAAAUGCGUAGAUAUCAGGAGGAACACCGGUGGUGUAAACGGCUUUCUGGACCAUAACUGACGCUGAUGCACGAAAAGCGUGGGUAGCAAACAGG
rnacentral:rRNA from 1 species